rnacentral:rRNA from 1 species
GGCUCAGGAUGAACGCUAGCUACAGGCUUAACACAUGCAAGUCGAGGGGAAACGAUAUUGGAAGCUUGCUUCCGAUAGGCGUCGACCGGCGCACGGGUGAGUAACGCGUAUCCAACCUGCCCAUCACUUGGGAAUAACCUUGCGAAAGUAAGACUAAUGCCCAAUGACAUUUAUAGAAGGCAUCUGAAAUGAAUUAAAGAUUUAUCGGUGAUGGAUGGGGAUGCGUCUGAUUAGCUUGUUGGCGGGGUAACGGCCCACCAAGGCAACGAUCAGUAGGGGUUCUGAGAGGAAGGUCCCCCACAUUGGAACUGAGACACGGUCCAAACUCCUACGGGAGGCAGCAGUGAGGAAUAUUGGUCAAUGGGCGUGAGCCUGAACCAGCCAAGUAGCGUGCGGGAUGAAGGCCCUAUGGGUUGUAAACCGCUUUUUCAGGGGGAUAAAGUGAGUGACGUGUCAUUCAUUGCAGGUACCCUGCGAAUAAGGACCGGCUAAUUCCGUG